rnacentral:rRNA from 1 species
CCUCGGGGGGCAGCAGUGGGGAAUAUUGGACAAUGGGCGAAAGCCUGAUCCAGCCAUGCCGCGUGUGUGAAGAAGGCCUUCGGGUUGUAAAGCACUUUCAGUGGGGAAGAAAGCCUUGGGGCUAAUACCCUCGAGGAAGGACAUCACCCACAGAAGAAGCACCGGCUAACUCCGUGCCAGCAGCCGCGGUAAUACGGAGGGUGCGAGCGUUAAUCGGAAUUACUGGGCGUAAAGCGCGCGUAGGCGGUCUGAUAAGCCGGUUGUGAAAGCCCCGGGCUCAACCUGGGAACGGCAUCCGGAACUGUCAGGCUAGAGUGCAGGAGAGGAAGGUAGAAUUCCCGGUGUAGCGGUGAAAUGCGUAGAGAUCGGGAGGAAUACCAGUGGCGAAGGCGGCCUUCUGGACUGACACUGACGCUGAGGUGCGAAAGCGUGGGUAGCAAACAGGAUUAGAUACCCUGUAGUC